rnacentral:tRNA from 1 species
GCCUGGGUGGCUCAGUAGGUUGGGCAUCUGACUUCGGCUCAGGUCGUGAUUUCACGGUUUAUGGGUUCAAACCCCACAUCAGGCU